rnacentral:rRNA from 1 species
GAUGAACGCUGGCGGCGUGCCUAAUACAUGCAGGUCGAGCGAACAGACGAGGAGCUUGCUCCUCUGACGUUAGCGGCGGACGGGUGAGUAACACGUGGAUAACCUACCUAUAAGACUGGGAUAACUUCGGGAAACCGGAGCUAAUACCGGAUAAUAUAUUGAACCGCAUGGUUCAAUAGUGAAAGACGGUUUUGCUGUCACUUAUAGAUGGAUCCGCGCCGCAUUAGCUAGUUGGUAAGGUAACGGCUUACCAAGGCGACGAUGCGUAGCCGACCUGAGAGGGGGAACGGCCACACUGGAACUGAGACACGGUCCAGACUCCUACGGGAGGCAGCCGUAGGGAAUCUUCCGCAAUGGGCGAAAGCCUGACGGAGCAACGCCGCGUGAGUGAUGAAGGUCUUCGGAUCGUAAAACUCUGUUAUUAGGGAAGAACAAAUGUGUAAGUAACUAUGCACGUCUUGACGGUACCUAAUCAGAAAGCCACGGCUAACUACGUG